ACAUUUCAUGGGACGUCUCUCCAGGGGAAACAACCUGAAAAUGUUUCAGGACUCCGGGUGGCAUUGAAGGGCCAGAGAGGGGUGUUUAGUGCACGCUGUUGGCUGGCUGGUUUUGUGGGUUUUGUUCACCGUCUACCGGGCAGAGAGCCUUUCUGCCGAUGUCGCCAGAUGCCUCUCUCCAAGCGAAAUGACCCAUUUGCAUGCGUGGUGCAGACAUUUUCCGGAGCUCCAGGGCUCCCAGGCCUCCCCAGGCCUCCGAUUGUAAAGGAUCGUAGGGCCACCCCUUUCCUUGUUCACAUGGACAGCGCCUAAGAGGAUUUAGAAUCAAGUGGGCACAUUUGCACUGCCUUGUUCUGAAGAGGCAGCUGGAGCGCGGACUGGCCUGGCGCAACCCACCGCGGGUCCCGGGGGACCGCAUUGUCUCGGAGGGGCCGCCACAGGGGCUCCAUUGUGAGCGGGGCCGGCCUUUUUCUCCUGCCCUCUGUCUCCCCGGGCCUCCCCUCAUCCCCCCCACCCCCCCUCCACGCAGACUUUUCUCUCAAGCUGCCGGCACCCCCGGCUGCCGCAUUUCCAAUGCAGGGGAGCGGCGAGGCUCCGGGCUGGCCAUCUGCACGCGGAGAUUGACAGCAGUCCCGGAAGAAAAGGAGACAUUGCAGAGAAUCAACCUGUGCCUGCAGCUAGGGAUUCGUUAAUUACUUUGUUCCCUCUUUUCCUCCCUCCCUCCCUUCCUCCUUUCCUUUCGCUAACAUUUUGAUGGAUACCUCAUGUGUGCUGGAGAUCAGGCGGUGGACCAGGGAUACAAGAAACGAGACUCCUAGCCCUUGAGAUGCUCUUCAUGUGGGGUCAUUACUUAGGGAUCAGCAAUUUGCUAAAGAUGAACAGAUUCUAAGAAGAUGGUUUUCCAGCAGCAACCAAUUUUAAAUCUGGACUGUGCACCAGGCACCUCUUGGAUGGACAGCCCUGAAACAUCUUUCAUGCAACUCCUCAGGCAGCCCAGAAACAGCCAGGAACCAUUCGCCAGGAGCUGUGGCCAACUUAAUAACUCAUCCUUGUAUUGGUUUCCAUCCUCUGUCCUUCAUCCGUCUUGUCUUUUACUCCUACUUGCUGGAUCACACAUCCCAAUAAAUUUUUGCACUCAAGCGUUUGUCUCAGGAUCUGCUGUCCGGAGGACCAAGACUAAGUUCAAGUCAUAUUUUUUUUUUUUUGAGAUGGAAUCUCACUCUGUUGCCCAGGCUGGAGUGCAGCGGCAUGAUUUUGAUUCACUGCAACGUCCACCUCCCGGGUUCAAGUGAUUGUCCUGCCUCAGCCUCAUGAGUAGCUGGGAUUACAGGUGCACGCCACCACACCUGGCUAAUUUUUGUAUUUUUAGUAGAGACAGGGUUUCACCAUGU
rnacentral:lncRNA from 1 species